rnacentral:rRNA from 1 species
AUACGAUGAAGAGUUUGAUCCUGGCUCAGGAUGAACGCUAGCGGCAGGCUUAACACAUGCAAGUCGAGGGGUAGAAGAAGCUUGCUUCUUUGAGACCGGCGCACGGGUGCGUAACGCGUAUGCAAUCUACCUUUCACAGAGGGAUAGCCCAGAGAAAUUUGGAUUAAUACCUCAUAGUAAUACGACUUGGCAUCAAGAUGUAUUUAAAGAUUUAUCGGUGAAAGAUGAGCAUGCGUCCCAUUAGCUAGUUGGUAUGGUAACGGCAUACCAAGGCUACGAUGGGUAGGGGUCCUGAGAG